rnacentral:rRNA from 1 species
UGGUGGGUUGCCUUGUCAGGUUGAUUCCGGUAACGAACGAGACCUCAACCUGCUAAAUAGUCACGGCCGGUUCUUCCGGUCGGCCGGCUUCUUAGAGGGACUGUUGGCGACUAGCCAAUGGAAGUUUGAGGCAAUAACA